rnacentral:ncRNA from 1 species
GCCAAUCGAAUAUCGGCCAGUCCGCGGCGAAGCCAGUGAAAUUCUGGCGCUGUCCCGCAACUGUGAAUUUAGUUAGGUAGUUGGAUAGUUACGUAGUUUUGUAGUUGGAUUUUGAACCAUGUAACUACUGAACCACAAAACUACCAAACUAAAUGAGUCAGGUCGCCCGCGCUGGUCGGUUCGC